AUUGAACGCUGGCGGCAUGCCUAACACAUGCAAGUCGAGCGGAUGAAGGGAGCUUGCUCCUGUAUUCAGCGGCGGACGGGUGAGUAAUGCCUAUGAAUCUGCCUUGUCGUUGGGGAUAACGUCCCGAAACGGGCGCUAAUACCGCAUACGUCCUGCGGCAGAACGUUGGUGAUCUUCGGACCUCACGCCUUCAGAUGAGCCUAGGUCGGAUUAGCUAGUUGGUGGGGUAAAGGCCUACCAAGGCGACGACCCGUAACUGGUCUGAGUGGAUGAUCAGUCACACUGGAACUGAAACACGGUCCAAACUCCUACGGGAGGCAGCAGUGGGGAAUAUUGGUCAAUGGGCGAAAGCCUGAUGCAGCCAUGGCGCGUGUGUGAAGAAGGUCUUCGGAUCGUAAAGCACUCUGAGUUGGGAGGAAGGGCAGUAGGUUUAUACCUAGCCGUUUUGACGUUACCUACAGAAUAAGCACCGGCUAACUUCGUG
rnacentral:rRNA from 1 species